rnacentral:rRNA from 1 species
AUUUAACGCUUGCGGCCGGCUUAACACAUGCACGUCGAGCGAGCGGCUGCCGGGUGAGUAAUGUCUGGGAAACUGCCUGAUGGAGGGGGAUAACUACUGGAAACGGUAGCUAAUACCGCAUACCAUCAGAUGUGCCCAGAUUGGAUUAGCUAGUAGGUGGGGUAAUGGCUCACCUAGGCGACGAUCCCUAGCUGGUCUGAGAGGAUGACCAGCCACACUGGAAUUGAGACACGGUCCAGACACGUACGGGAGGCAGCAGUGGGGAAUAUUGCACAAUGGGCGCAAGCCUGAUGCAGACAGGCCGAGGGUGUGAAGAAGGCCUUCGGGUUGUAAAGCACGUUCAGCGAGGAGGCGUGACUCGAAGAAGAAGCACCGGCUAACUCCGUGCCAGCAGCCGCGGUAAUAC